rnacentral:lncRNA from 1 species
UUAUUCCUGGACCUCCUAUUUAUAGGUAAAUUUUUUAUAUUUUUUUGAUAGAAAAAGGAGUCCUAAAACUCUUAGAAAAUGUAUUAAAUACUUAAAAAUUUUUCUGACCAUCGGAUCGUCUUUGGACCACCCAGAUCAGCCAAAAAAAUAGUUUCUUUCUCCUUAUUACAUUUGGAUACUAUUCUGGCUGUCUGAUCGUGCUUCAGAUGAGAUUUAGGCCAUCAGAUCGUGCCUCUGAUCUCCUAUUCAAACUUGGGAAUGAUGCUGGCCGUCUGAUCGUACGAUGGAUUGAGUUUUGACCAUCGGAUUAUGCCCAGGAGUCCUUUUAACCGACAACAAAUGUGAACCGUCGGAUCUGGAUCAGGAUGAACAUGGGCCGUUGGAUCAUGCAAAGAGACUUCUGCCUGCCA